UUCGUACCUGGCAGAUCAUAGUGAUGGUUAGAUAUGGGUUUAGGGUUUGUGUGUGCAUACUGUAGAGGUUUGUGUGUUUACUACAGGGGCUUCUUACUGGCUGAUCUUUUGCAGUAUCUCACAGGGGGACUGCCAGGUGAUCCUCUCCAGACGCAGCAGACCCACAGAGAACCACUCAGACAGCAGACUCUUCAGAGUGCCAUUCAGAUCCUGCAGGGCAAAAGUCAUCUGAGCUGAACUGUUCUACCAGUCGGGUUGAAAUGGGACACCAAUAUUAAUGUUUCAUUUGGCUAUGAAAGCAGAUGGAGACUUGUGCCAGAGAAGAGGGGGGACAAGAGGAAAAGACAGGAGGAGGAUGAACCCAUGGAGGGUCCCUCAUGUUCCACUACCACCCCAAUGUUAAAGAAGAACUUGACAGAGGAGGAUGAGGGUGGCCGGAGGACAGAGACGGUGGGGAUAAAGAAAGAGAAUGUAGACAUCCUCCCUGAGCAGGGGAGCAGGCAGAUGUUCUAGUCCUCAGCUGGUUGUGUAGUUCCAUCAUUUUACCCACUUUACUCACAUCAACAAGAAUUUGAGCUAAGUAUUAUAUUUUAUUGUAUUCACAAACAUUACCAUGGUAAGAUGUUAGGGCUUGGAGCAUAUGACUCAGAUUGGUACAGCUGAAAUUACAAACAAGCUUCCUUUUGUAUGAAAUGCUAUGAACAUUUUGGGAAAGUUUACAAUGGGCUUACUGAUUGUCUAAAUCAUCUACUGUGUAAGUUGUCUUGUUUCUGUGGUGCUGUCUUAGUCACCCAGAAGCCAAAGAAAGAGGAGGGGGAGCAUCCAGUCACUACAAAGAAGAAUAAGUCAAAGGAAGAGAUUGAGGCAGCAAAAACAUUGAAGUUCAAAAAAAGGAGAAGAGGAGCAACAGUGCUGGAGAUUGGGGUGUGAAGGGGAGAAGUACAUUAUGAGGACGGAGUCAAGUGUAAUUUUCUGGAGCACAAGAAUGCCUUUUCCCCCCCGGUGUGCCAGCCUCUCCCAGAUGACAUCCCCUUCUACUAUAAUGGAGAUGACCAUGGAGGAGAGGAUGCUGAUUAGUGACCUGAGUAAUGAGUAUGUCUUCUGUAUGCAUGACCACCACCGGGUGCUCGGCAACAUUAAGAUUGAGCCCACGGGUCUGUUCCGAGUGCGGGGGGAGCACCAUAAACAAGGCAUGUUGAAGAAGAGGAUCCAGGAUGGCAUCAUCACCUAUGCAAAGUGAGACUGGCUCGGCUCAGAACAUUGACUGGACGGUAAAGGAGAGUUUACAGGAGUAGAAAUGGUUAAUGAAAGAGACGGUUUGCUGGCCAGAGAAACACUAUGGAGCAGUCAACUGAUGGAACAGUCCCACAACGGGUUUUAAUGUUCCAAUAGUCAUCGCUCAAUAAGGUUCAGUAGUUGUAUCUAGAGGAAGACCACAAGUUAGUUUUCCAAACUACUCCACUACUCUAAGACAUCUUGUCUGUGUGUCUUGUCAUAUGAUGGCGCAAUAAUUUGGUGUAUUUUUUAUUUACAUUUUUGUACUUAAUUGUGAUUUAUCAGGGGGUGCUGCAGCACCCUCAGCACCCCUGCUCCCCGUGGCUAUGGGUUUUACUAUAUCAUUUCUUCCAUUUUAGCCACAUUUCCUAAUCUGCUUGCAUGUGCCUCCCCAAGGUGUUUUGGUUCUCAAUGUUUUUCCGCUCCCUAACUUUUAUUAUAAACUUGGUGGUUCAAGCCCUGAAUGCUGAAUGAAUGACAGCCAUGGUAUAUUUAAGCAAUAAGGCAUGUGGGGGUGUGCUAUAUGUCCACGAUGCACUGCUGAGUGCUUGGACACAGCCCUUAUACACUGCUCAAAAAAAUAAAGGGAACACUUAAACAACACAAUGUAACUCCAAGUCAAUCACACUUCUGUGAAAUCAAACUGUCCACUUAGGAAGCAACACUGAUUGACAAUAAAUUUCACAUGCUGUUGUGCAAAUGGAAUAGACAAAAGGUGGAAAUUAUAGGCAAUUAGUAAGACACCCCCAAAAAAGGAAUGGUUCUGCAGGUGGUGACCACACACCACUUCUCAGUUCCUAUGCUUCCUGGCUGAUGUUUUGAUCACUUUUGAAUGCUGGCGGUGCUUUCACUCUAGUGGUAGCAUGAGACGGAGUCUACAACCCACACAAGUGGCUCAGGUAGUGCAGUUCAUCCAGGAUGGCACAUCAAUGCGAGCUGUGGCAAAAAGGUUUGCUGUGUCUGUCAGCGUAGUGUCCAGAGCAUGGAGGCGCUACCAGGAGACAGGCCAGUACAUCAGGAGACGUGGAGAAGGCCGUAGGAGGGCAACAACCCAGCAGCAGGACCGCUACCUCCACCUUUGUGCAAGGAGGUGCACUGCCAGAGCCCUGCAAAAUGACCUCCAGCAGACCACAAAUGUGCAAAAAAAAAAAUAAGUUUAUAAGAGAACGUAUACUAUGGGUAUAACAACACAUUUAUUUUUCUGCUCUAUUUACGUUGCAUUGUGCAUAAGAACAGCCGAUAGCCAUGGUAUAUUGGCCAUAUACCACACCCCCUCAUGCCUUAUUGUUUAACUAUACCACAGGUUAAUAUAGUCCGCCAUCUUAACUGUACAUCCUGCCCUCUAUCUACCAUUCAUAAUGACAGUAGUGUUAGGUGGAUCGUUUUUCUAGAUCUGCAAUAGGCUAACUAGCAAUCAUACCACACAUAAAAGCAUUCAAAGUUACAUCAAUUUUCAAUAGGGAUCCACAAGAAUCAAUAGGAAUCGCUGAUAGGCAGCAGCGAGGCCAAUUGCAUUAUUCCGCAUGAAAGAACAGUGAAGGCCUGAUCACCAACAACGACGAGACAGCCUAUAGGGAGGUCAGAGACCUGGCCAUGUGAUGCCAGGACAACAACCUCUCCCUCAACGUGAUCAAGUCAAAGGAGAUAAUUGUGGACAGGAAAAGGAGGACCGAGCACACCCCCAUUCUCAUCGACGGGCUGUAGUGGAGCAGGUUGAGAGCUUCAAGUUCCUUGGUGUCCACAUCACCAACAAACUAACAUGGUCCAAGCAUACCAAGACAGUCGUGAAGAGGGCACAACAAAGCCUCUUUCCCCACAAGGAGACUGAAAAGAUUUGGCAUGGGUCCUAAAAAUUGUCAAAAGACUCCAGCCACCCUAGUCAUAGCCUGAUCUCUCUGCUACCGCAUGGUAAGGGGUACCGGAGCGCCAAGUCUAGGUCCAAGAUGCUUCUAAACAGCUUCUACCCCCAAGCCAUAAGACCCCUGAACAUCUAAUCAAAUGGCUACCCAGACUAUUUGCAUUGCCCCUCCCCCCUCUUUUACACUGCUGCUUCUCUCUGUUAUUAUCUAUGCAUAGUCACUUUAAUAAUUUUGAUAACCCUUUAAUGUACAUAUUACCUCAAUUACCUUGACUAACCACCACACAUUGACUCUGCACAUUGACUCUGUACCGGUACGCACUGUAUAUAGCCUCACUAUUGUUAUUUUACUACUGCUCUUUAAUUAUUUGUAACUUUUAUUUCUUGUUCUUAUUUUUUAUUUUUUUGGUUACUGCGUUGUUGGUUGGGGCUUGUAAGUAAGCAUUUCACAGUAAGGUCUACGCCUGUUGUAUUCGGCGGAUGUGACAAAUACAAUUUGAUAUGAUAUUUGAAGACAUGAGACACGCAGCUCAAAAACCUUCCCUAUUGAUCUUGUUUAGGGGCAAUACCCCUAUCUUACCUAGACUAGCCUACACCGCAAUGCAAUGAAUAAUUGCAUUAUCGUUCUCAAGUGAGUACAACAUUCUAAUCUAGGCUGCAGUGAAAAUGUCAUUUGAAUAACCACGCAAAAGCCCUGUGAUUUGAAUGUUUCAUUCUAUUAGCAAAAGGGUUUUCUAAUGAUCAAUUAGCCUUUUAAAAUGAUAAACUGGAUUUGCUAACACAACGUGCCAUUGGAACACAGGAGUGAUGGUUGCGUAUAAUGGGCUUCUGUGUGCCUAUGUAGAUAUUCCAUUAAAAACCUGCCGUUUCCAACUACAAUAGUCAUUUACAACAUUAACAAUGUCUACACUGUAUAUCUGAUCAAUUUGAUGUUAUUUUAAUGGACAAAAAAUUUGCUUUUCUUUCAAAAACAAGGACAUUUCUAAGUGACCCCAAACUUUUGUGUACUUUUUGUGUAACGGUAGUGUAUGUAUUUUUCUUCUAUUGAUAAAUAAAGUAAUCAGCAGCCAUUUGAUGAAUGGAAAGAGACCUCCGCAAAAAAAUAAAAAGUUCAAUGACAUUC